CAUAGCGUAAUGAAGCGAACCGGGGGAACUGAAACAUCUAAGUACCCCGAGGAAAAGAAAUCAACCGAGAUUCCCCCAGUAGCGGCGAGCGAACGGGGAGCAGCCCAGAGUCUGAAUCAGCUUGUGUGUUAGUGGAACGGUCUGGAAAGUCCGACGGUACAGGGUGAUAGUCCCGUACACCAAAAUGCACAGGUUGUGAACUCGAAGAGUAGGGCGGGACACGUGGUAUCCUGUCUGAAUAUGGGGGGACCAUCCUCCAAGGCUAAAUACUCCUGACUGACCGAUAGUGAACCAGUACCGUGAGGGAAAGGCGAAAAGAACCCCGGCGAGGGGAGUGAAAAAGAACCUGAAACCGUGUACGUACAAGCAGUGGGAGCCUACUUGUUAGGUGACUGCGUACCUUUUGUAUAAUGGGUCAGCGACUUAUAUUCUGUAGCAAGGUUAACCGUAUAGGGGAGCCGAAGGGAAACCGAGUCUUAACUGGGCGUUAAGUUGCAGGGUAUAGACCCGAAACCCGGUGAUCUAGCCAUGGGCAGGUUGAAGGUUGGGUAACACUAACUGGAGGACCGAACCGACUAAUGUUGAAAAAUUAGCGGAUGACUUGUGGCUGGGGGUGAAAGGCCAAUCAAACCGGGAGAUAGCUGGUUCUCCCCGAAAGCUAUUUAGGUAGCGCCUCGUGAAUUCAUCUUCGGGGGUAGAGCACUGUUUCGGCUAGGGGGUCAUCCCGACUUACCAACCCGAUGCAAACUGCGAAUACCGAAGAAUGUUAUCACGGGAGACACACGGCGGGUGCUAACGUCCGUCGUGAAGAGGGAAACAACCCAGACCGCCAGCUAAGGUCCCAAAGUCAUGGUUAAGUGGGAAACGAUGUGGGAAGGCACAGACAGCCAGGAUGUUGGCUUAGAAGCAGCCAUCAUUUAAAGAAAGCGUAAUAGCUCACUGGUCGAGUCGGCCUGCGCGGAAGAUGUAACGGGGCUAAACCAUGCACCGAAGCUGCGGCAGCGACACUAUGUGUUGUUGGGUAGGGGAGCGUUCUGUAAGCCGUUGAAGGUGGCCUGUGAGGGUUGCUGGAGGUAUCAGAAGUGCGAAUGCUGACAUAAGUAACGAUAAUGCGGGUGAAAAACCCGCACGCCGGAAGACCAAGGGUUCCUGUCCAACGUUAAUCGGGGCAGGGUGAGUCGACCCCUAAGGCGAGGCCGAAAGGCGUAGUCGAUGGGAAACAGGUUAAUAUUCCUGUACUUGGUGUUACUGCGAAGGGGGGACGGAGAAGGCUAUGUUAGCCGGGCGACGGUUGUCCCGGUUUAAGCAUGUAGGCGGAGGUUCCAGGUAAAUCCGGUACCUUUUUAACGCUGAGGUGUGAUGACGAGGCACUACGGUGCUGAAGUAACAAAUGCCCUGCUUCCAGGAAAAGCCUCUAAGCAUCAGGUAACACGAAAUCGUACCCCAAACCGACACAGGUGGUCAGGUAGAGAAUACCAAGGCGCUUGAGAGAACUCGGGUGAAGGAACUAGGCAAAAUGGUGCCGUAACUUCGGGAGAAGG
rnacentral:rRNA from 1 species